GCUUUAAACAAUUAGCUUUGAAUAUAAUUGAACUAAUAUCUUAGCGCACAGAUGCCAAGAAAGUUAGUCUGAAAAGAAUAUAAUUUCGCCAAUACCAGGGGACUUUUUUGAGUCCAACAGUACCGUUUUACCCCGCCAUCUGGAUGCCUUUACAUUCAGAUGGCCGUAA
rfam:Yersinia mollaretii ATCC 43969 contig01584, whole genome shotgun sequence.